GNUGCUGACUCUCUCGGGNNCNUGUGCNCACUUGUCAUCUUUAUAUCUCCACCUGNGCACCUUUUGUAGAUCUGGAUAUCUUUCUGAAUGCCUGCAUUCAGGUUUGAGGAUUGACUUGUCUUUCCUUACAUUUCCAGGCCUAUGUUUCUUCAUAUACACCAUGUAUGUUAUAGAAUGUAAUGAAAAGGGCCUUUGUGCCUACAAACUUAUACAACUUUCAGCAACGGAUCUCUUGGCUCUCGCAUCGAUGAAGAACGCAGCGAAAUGCGAUAAGUAAUGUGAAUUGCAGAAUUCAGUGAAUCAUCGAAUCUUUGAACGCACCUUGCGCUCCUUGGUAUUCCGAGGAGCAUGCCUGUUUGAGUGUCAUUAAUAUAUCAACCUCCUCAGGUUUUUACUUGUCGAGUGUUUGGAUGUGGGGGGUUUUUUUUGCUGGUCUCUCUUGAGAUCGGCUCCCCUGAAAUGCAUUAGCGGAACAAUUUGUUGACCCGUUCAUUGGUGUGAUAACUAUCUACGCUAUUGACGUGAAGCAGGUUCAGCUUCUAACAGUCCAUUAACUUGGACAAAUUUUCAUUAAUGUGACCUCAAAUCAGGUAGGACUACCCGCUGAACUUAAGCAUAUCAU
rnacentral:rRNA from 1 species